rnacentral:rRNA from 1 species
CUUGAACGCUGGCGGCAUGCUUUACACAUGCAAGUCGAACGGUAACAGGCCGCAAGGUGCUGACGGGUGGCGAACGGGUGAGUAAUGCAUCGGAACGUGCCCAGUCGUGGGGGAUAACGCAGCGAAAGCUGCGCUAAUGCCGCAUACGAUCUAUGGAUGAAAGCGGGGGACCGUAAGGCCUCGCGCGAUUGGAGCGGCCGAUGUCAGAUUAGGUAGUUGGUGGGGUAAAGGCUCACCAAGCCGACGAUCUGUAGCUGGUCUGAGAGGACGACCAGCCACACUGGGACUGAGACACGGCCCAGACUCCUACGGGAGGCAGCAGUGGGGAAUUUUGGACAAUGGGCGCAAGCCUGAUCCAGCAAUGCCGCGUGCAGGAAGAAGGCCUUCGGGUUGUAAACUGCUUUUGUACGGAACGAAACGGCUCUGGUUAAUACCUGGGGCUAAUGACGGUACCGUAAGAAUAAGCACCGGCUAACUACGUGCCAGCAGCCGCGGUAACAC